GACGAACGCUGGCGGCGUGCCUAAUACAUGCAAGUCGAACGCAGUGGGGACGGGUGAGUAACACGUGGGUAACCUCCCAUCAGAGGGGAAAACACUUGGAAACAGGUGCUAAACCGAGACGGAUGGAUGGACCCGCGGUGAAUUGGCUAGUUGGUGAGGUAACGGCCCACCAGGGCCACGAUGCAUAGCCGGCCGGAGAGGGUGAUCGGUCACACUGGGACUGAGACACGGUCCAGCCUCCUACGGGAGGCAGCAGUGGGGAAUCUUCGGCAAUGGACGAAAGUCUGACCGAGCAACGCCGCGUGAGUGAAGAAGGUUUUCGGGUCGUAAAACUCUGGUGUUAUGGAAGCGGUAUCGAAAGAGAAAGCCCCGGCUAACUACGUGCCAGCCGCCGCGGUAAUAG
rnacentral:rRNA from 1 species